rnacentral:rRNA from 1 species
CCUACGAGUGGCAGCAGUGGUGAAUAUUGGGCAAUGGGCGCAAGCCUGACCCAUCAACGCCGCGUGAAGGAAGAAGGCUUUCGGGUUGUAAACUUCUUUUCUCAGGGACGAAGCAAGUGACGGUACCUGAUGAAUAAGCCACGGCUCACUACGUGCCAGCAGCCGCGGUAAUACGUAGGUUGCAAGCGUUAGCCGGAUUUACUGGGUGUAAAGGGCGUGUAGGCGGGAAAGCAAGGCAGAUGUGAAAACCAUGGGCUCAACCUGUGGCCUGCAUUUGAAACUGUUUUUCUGGAGUACUGGAGAGGCAGACGGAAUUCCUAGUGUAGCGGUGAAAUGCGUAGAUAUUAGGAGGAAAAUCAGUGGCGAAGGCGACUAUCUGGCACAUAACUGACGCUGAGGAGCGAAAGCGUGGGUAGCAAACAGGAUUAGAUACCCGAGUAGUC